GGAUAUAGCUCAAUCGGUAGAGUGCUUGCCUUGUAUGUGUAAGGACCUGGGUUCAAUCCCAGCACCA
rnacentral:tRNA from 1 species